CUGCUGCCUCCCGUAGGAGUUUGGGCCGUGUCUCAGUCCCAAUGUGGCCGUCCGCCCUCUCAGGCCGGCUACCGAUCGUCGCUUUGGUGGGCCUCUACCCCGCCAACUGGCUAAUCGGACGCGGGUCCAUCCCAUACCACCGGAGCUUUUCACACUGUAUCAUGCGAUACCGUGCGCUUAUGCGGUAUUAGCAGCCGUUUCCGGCUGGUAUCCCCCGGUAUGGGGCAGGUUGCCCACGCGUUACUCACCCGUCCGCCACUAA
rnacentral:rRNA from 1 species